GAUGAACGCUGGCGGCGUGCUUAACACAUGCAAGUCGAACGAGAAGUGAAGACGGAAACCUUCGGGCGGAAGGCUUUAUUUCGAGUGGCGGACGGGUGAGUAACGCGUGGGUAACCUGCCUCAUACAGGGGGAUAACAGUUGGAAACGACUGUUAAUACCGCAUAAGACCACAGCACCGCAUGGUGCGGGGGUAAAAACUCCGGUGGUAUGAGAUGGACCCGCGUUCGAUUAGCCAGUUGGCGGGGUAACGGCCCACCAAAGCGAUGAUCGAUAGCCGAUCUGAGAGGAUGACCGGCCACAUUGGGACUGAGACACGGCCCAAACUCCUACGGGAGGCAGCAGUGGGGAAUAUUGCACAAUGGGGGAAACCCUGAUGCAGCGACGCCGCGUGAGUGAAGAAGUAUUUCGGUAUGUAAAGCUCUAUCAGCAGGGAAGAAAAUGACGGUACCUGAGUAAGAAGCCCCGGCUAACUACGUG
rnacentral:rRNA from 1 species